rnacentral:rRNA from 1 species
UACGAAGGGGGCUAGCGUUGUUCGGAAUCACUGGGCGUAAAGCGCACGUACGCGGGCCGCUAAGUUGGGGGUGAAAGCCCAGGGCUCAACCCUGGAAAUGCCUGCUAUACUCUCUGUCUCGAGUUUGGGAGAGGUGAGUGGAAUACCUAGUGUAGAGGUGAAAUUCGUAGAUAUUAGGGAGAACACCAGUGGCGAAGGCGGCUCACUGGUCCGAUUCUGACGCUGAGGUGCGAAAGCGUGGGGAGCAAACAGG